GAUGAACGCUGGCGGCGUGCCUAAUACAUGCAAGUCGAGCGAACAGACGAGGAGCUUGUUCCUUUGACGUUAGCGGCGGACGGGUGAGUAACACGUGGAUAACCUACCUAUAAGACUGGGAUAACUUCGGGAAACCGGAGCUAAUACCGGAUAAUAUAUUGAACCGCAUGGUUCAAUAGAGAAAGACGGUUUUGCUGUCACUUAUAGAUGGAUCCGCGCCGCAUUAGCUAGUUGGUAAGGUAACGGCUUACCAAGGCGACGAUGCGUAGCCGACCUGAGAGGGUGAUCGGCCACACUGGAACUGAGACACGGUCCAGACUCCUACGGGAGGCAGCAGUAGGGAAUCUUCCGCAAUGGGCGAAAGCCUGACGGAGCAACGCCGCGUGAGUGAUGAAGGUCUUCGGAUCGUAAAGCUCUGUUAUUGGGGAAGAACAAAUGUGUAAGUAACUAUGCACGUCUUGACGGUACCUAAUCAGAAAGCCACGGCUAACUACGUG
rnacentral:rRNA from 1 species